CGGGGUGAGUAACGCGUGGAUAACCUGCCUCACACUGGGGGAUAACAGUUAGAAAUGACUGCUAAUACCGCAUAAGCGCACAGUACCGCAUGGUACAGUGUGAAAAACUCCGGUGGUGUGAGAUGGAUCCGCGUCUGAUUAGCCAGUUGGCGGGGUAACGGCCCACCAAGGCGACGAUCAGUAGCCGACCUGAGAGGGUGACCGGCCACAUUGGGACUGAGACACGGCCCAA
rnacentral:rRNA from 1 species